GCUCCAACCGGGGUUGUGCGCACCGAGGGGUGGCGGGCUCGGGGGUGUGAGCUGACGUGAGACUGGAGAAAGGCCUACGCGGGAUGAAAGGUGGAACUGGAAGGCUUUCCUGUUGCAGGGCUGCAGACUCCUUCAUGACUGAGGUGUCAGCUGGCUAAAGAGGCCAAGGGCUGUCUGAACACUUUGCAACUGUAACAUGCCACCUCCUUUGCCAGGGUUGACAUCCUGCACAGAGGGAAGUGAUAGUGCUUUGCUAAGAUCUUCAGGCCUGCUUUUCCUUCAUUCUCCCUGCAGCCACUUGGCCCAAAUGACGAACGCGCAGCUUGACUGCCAUAGCUACAUGCCCAGACUGUAAGCUUCAUGCCUGCGGUGUCCUCCAUGGAAGUGAGCCGUAGUGACUGUAUGUAGAGAGCUGCCACUUUCACCUGUGUUCACAGGUACCUGCAGGAGGAACACCUGGACAUCAUGGUUCAGCCAUCUUCCCCAUGAGUGUUUGUUUUGUUUAUAGUUGGUUUGGUUUUUUCUCUCUCUCUCUCUCCAGUGUAUGAUAGGGGAACUGAAGUGAUGGGGCUUUUUGCUCUAUCAGGAGGGUCAGUUUACCUCCUGGAAGGUUUUUUAGCAGAGGGGCAGAAAGCAGGUGCUGCAGAAGGUGGAAGGCUCCUGCACUGGGAUUCAGUGGUGUUGCCGGUGUGGUAGCCCCGCAGCUCACCCCACCUCACUCCGGGUGCUGAGCAGGGGAGCACGGGUUUGCCGUGGGCUGAACACCCUUGCAUCUGUGCUUGCAGUCCUGUGCUCUGCUCUCUACACUGCAGAAACUCCACAGUCCUGGGAGCAGGGAGAAGGACACGCCUGUGCUCUCCCAAAUGCCAUUCCCUCCGAUGGUACGGCAUUCACCCGGAGCUAGCUCCUGACCCCGCAGCUACUCGCAGGAGAACAUAGAGCGCCCUUCUUUUUCAGGAACUGCUCCUUUAGCGUUGGUAUUUUGUCCGUGGGCCUUGCCGCGCUGCAGUGCCGCCUCCGCGGCUGUCCCCGCGUCCCUGCGCCCGGCGCGCUCUGCCGGUGUCUCCUCCGCCGGCUGCGCCUCCCUGCCAGCCCCAGCCGGGCCGACCCGGCUGCAGCCACCGAAGGGCAGGAGGAAAUGCAGCCAUGCGGCAGGAGGUGGCGAGCGAGGUCCUAGGGAGCGCUGUCAGCGGGGCCCUGAGUGUCCUGGUGACAGUGGGAUGCUCUUUCAGGCUUGCAAUCGGCUCUGAAAACGCCAGCAUGUGUGCAGAAAUGUUGCGGGUUUUUUUCAGAAUUGUUUUGUGUCAAGGUGAAGGGCAACUAAGAAUGCUGAACUGGUUUUAUAGGAGUGUCAAAACAGGGAUAAGGCCAGGGCAGAAGAGGCAAACUUGGAGUGUUCCUUUCUGGUGGAAUUACUCCUUGACCAGUCACACUGGGACCGUUCUGCCAGGGACAGAUGGUGUUAGUUCCUUGGGCUCCCAGUGCGGGUUAUUCUGUAGGGACCCACAGAACAGAAACUAAAUAUUUUUUGAUGCUGAAGACACCUAAGAGACUUUCAACAGCAGAUUUUAAGGGGCUGAUCAACUUGAUUUGCUUUGUAAAUUGCGAAACCUUUCCUUUAUUGGAAAACCUUUCCUUUAUUGUUAAAUGUGCAUGUUCACUGUGGCAAAGUAAAAUGCUGAUCAAGUUGAUGUGUUUAAACAGAAUUUUCUGUAUUUUAAGUAGAAUUCUCUGGAUCUUUAAGCUCUGAGUUUUGAAGCAGAAUUCAAUGUCCCUGUCCCUUUGAUCUCUGAUCCAGAUGGAAGUUGAUGGUCUCAUUCUCCCCUUUAACCUUUCUUUUAAAUGUAAAAAGAUGCUAUCAGGGGACUUAAGCAGAUGUUGCUCAAUGUUUAUGGAAAGCUUUUGUAUUUUAUGACCUGCCUGGCAAUUGUCUGAGAAGAUGACAUCUUCUUUUACACUCAGUCUGAAGUUCUGCACGUCCUGAACUGAACUUUGCUUGAAACUGAGUAGGGGACAUUGCCCCAAACAACCAGCAGGGACCACUAGAGACCCCCAAAGAGUUCUACAAAGGUGCAGUGACACAUACUGCAUAAGGUCGUGCAAAUGAAGCAAUUAUGCUGUAGGCAGGAGUAAUUAUGUAUUAGAUAGGCAGGUUUAUGUAGAUUUCAGUGUGUGAAUUCUCUCACAUUUUAAACCUUGGUCAGCUUGAUUUGUGGAAAAUCUCUGCUUUGCAUCUCAGGGAUACAUCAAAGGGUUUCUAAACCCUUUAUCCAUAUUUAGAGAGUUCUGAAAGUUGGAAACAAAAGCAGUAAAUUGAUUUACAGUUUAGAAGCCUUUGCAGAAUAAUUAAUUUAUUGGAGAUGCUGCCCAGGCAUUCAAAGAGGAGAAGAAAGUAAGCAGAUCCCAGCAGGAAGGAGCAGAUGCAGCCAAGGUUAAGACAGAAUCUGCUGUAGCCAUGCCAGCGGGGCCUGUUGCAGAGACGUUCCGAGUUAUUCAAGAGGCAGUGACUGAAGAGUACAUGAGAAGGACUCAGGGCAUCUUUCAGUUUGAGCUAUCUGGUGAUGGUGGAGGGACUUGGUACAUUGACCUGAAGACCAAGGGUGGGAGUGCUGGCUUCGGAAAGCCUCCUGUGACGGCCGAUGUGGUUAUGAGCAUGUCGAGUGCCGACUUUGUAAAGAUGUUCACAGGUGAGGGACAAAGGCCUUUGUCAAGGGACACAGGCAGUGGGGCCCAGAAAAGCCUCUGCUGACAGGGGAGUAGAGCAGCUUCUCACUUUGUGAUCUGGGAUUGGAGGAGCUUUCAGCUUUUUUGGCUCAAGGGAGAGUGCAGGCAAGAACUGCUUGGAUUUUUCUGCACUUCUGCAUCCUGUGAACAGGAAGAGUGCAAAAGGUUACACUGCUUUUAUUAACCAGGUACUGACAUUUUAGCAGCCAGUGUAUCUUCAGAAAUAAUCCAGUCAGUGUGUUGGAUUUGUGCUUUGUGUAUAUCUGAGCAUCAUUUCCUAAAUGUGCACUGCUUGUACCAGGAGGACUUGUUAGGAAAGUAAGCUGAUAUGUUUCAUCUCCCCUGAGAGAUUGGAGCCAUAUGGUCUUUUCUCAGUUAAAUCAGUCAUAAUAUAAUAAUUUCAUUAAGUAACAGGAUACAACAUCUGAUGUCAUUUGCUCCUCUUUGCUUUCUCAUUCCAGAAAACAUAUUUACUGAUUAAAUAGUGUUGUACAGGAGGCAGUGUCAGAAUUUUCAUAAUGUUAAAUUGCUACACUUCUUUGUAAGUGUGAUUUCUACAAGUAACACUAUUCAAAACAGCUCCAAAUCUUUUUUAACACACUUCAAAAUGAAGUCAGAAGAGAACAGAUUAAUAAUGAAAAAAAAAAAAAAGUUAUCCAUUAAAUUAAUCAUUGCAAUCAAGUCCUCAGAAAUGUUUUUACAGAUGGACUGGAAAAGUAAAUUCUACUUCGAUUAAUCAGCCUCCUCCUUUACAGCAAAGUUCUUCAAUAUUGUGAAAUGUAGAUAGAUAAAGAUAUAUGGAAAUUAUUUGUUAAAUUCAGAUAGUGGAAGUAUAUGAGAUUUAAUCACAGAUUCUGAUUUAGCAUUUUUACCACGUGGAUAAAACUAUGAAUGAUAUUCCAAACCAGAAUUUCUAAAGCACUCAAAAAUCUUACUCUAGGGAUAUUACUAUUUCCUGUGCACAGCCUAUAUACAAAUUAUUUUAAUUUUCUGAUUAUUCUGUUUCUUCAUUUUAGAUAAACUAAAGCCAUUCAUGGCUUUCAUGCCGGGAAAUUCUAGUAUUCAAGGUGAUAUGAUGCUAACAUUGAGUCUGGAAAAGAUGCUGCUAUAGUUAAAUUUUGAACACUAGCAGAAUCCUGGUCUUUCUUAUGUAACUACAGAGCUAUUUUAAAACACCAGUCCUCAUUUUUUGCUGAUGCAGAUCAGCAUUUUGUAGAUCAAGAUCAAUAGAUUUUGUAAUUGCUACAGAAGUCACAAAUCAGGUUGAUUAUAAUACCCAA